AAAAAGAUUAUUUGCUAUGUUCGGACCACCUCCUUUCUGCCAUUUGGAUGAUCAGCUGCACUCAUAUUACCUUAUGUCACCAAGACGGUGAAGACAAGUUUCUGAAAUGAUUUUUCAUCCAAAGCCCUGAAAUGAUUUUGGGAAAGUCGAUAUUUUAAAAGGCCAUUUUCCUGAGAUAAGAACUGAGUUUGACGUCUGGGAUGAGGAUCUUGAUCAAGAGAAACAACCUUCACACCAAAGGGGGAUGCCUUGCCUGAAAGAGUGAGCUAACUGUGUUAAAUUUAGAAAAGAACAAUGGAGUUGACUUUAGCAUGUUUUCUACUGUGAUCUCUGUUACCCAGAAACAAGUACUAAAUGACGUUAAUGUCACUUUAAUUCUUUAAAAUGUUAAGUGGAAAUGGGGAAAAAGAACAAUCACUGGGCAUGAGAAAAAUUGCUGUCUUAAAA
rnacentral:lncRNA from 1 species